rnacentral:misc_RNA from 1 species
AACCCGUGCGGCCCAGGACGCCCGCAGCAAAUACGGCCAAGUAGAGGCGAAAUCCGCUGGUCCAGGAGAGUCCGGCUGCCAGCGCGGCGGUUUCCAGCAUGAGGUUCCUUGGGAGCGAAGAAGGGGCGUGCGAACGAUCAAUCGAUAUUGCAGUGUAGUGCGCGCUCGCCUGCGCCGCGGCCUAAAGCAGCGUGCCCUGCGACAGGAUCUUGUCGCAAGCCUGCCGGGUGAUCUGCGAUCUGAGGCUGCCCAGGUCGAAUGUGUUGCCGUCUGAGCCGGUCAGGAUGCCAUUUGUGCCC